rnacentral:lncRNA from 1 species
AAGCUCGUUCGAUAUCCAUCCGCUAUGGAAGUUCGAUCGUAGUCUGGUUCUAGUAGAAGGCUGAAAGGAGACUACUUAUUGUAGAAGCUCGAUCGAAGAUCGAUUGUCGUGGGAGCUCGGAGUAGCGACCUGGCCGGUGGGUCCUGUCCCAUUGUAGAAGCUCGUCUGGGACCCGGCUAUGAAGAAGCUCGGCUGAAGUGUACCUGUAAUAAAAGUUUGAAAGAAAUAUGUUUACAGUAGAGGCCUGAAUGAAAUUUGCUUAUAGUUGAGAUCCGGGGUAGACCGUCCGCUGUAGGAGUUCGGAGUAGACCGCUCGUAGCAGG